rnacentral:rRNA from 1 species
AAGCGGAGGAAAAGAAACCAACAGGGAUUGCCCCAGUAGCGGCGAGUGAAGCGGCAAGAGCUCAGAUUUGAAAUCGUGUUUCGGCACGAGUUGUAGAGUGUAGGCGGGAGUCUCUGUGGAGCGCGGUGUCCAAGUCCCUUGGAACAGGGUGCCUGAGAGGGUGAGAGCCCCGUAGGGUGCUGCGCGAAGCUUUUGAGGCCCUGCUGACGAGUCGAGUUGUUUGGGAAUGCAGCUCCAAGCGGGUGGUAAAUUCCAUCUAAGGCUAAAUAUUGGCGAGAGACCGAUAGCGAACAAGUACUGUGAAGGAAAGAUGAAAAGCACUUUGAAAAGAGAGUGAAACAGCACGUGAAAUUGUUGAAAGGGAAGGGUAUUGGGCUCGACAUGGGGGGUGCGCACCGCUGUCUCUUGUAGGCGGCGCUCUGGGCGCCCUCUGGGCCAGCAUCGGUUCCUGCUGCGGGAGAAGGGGCUCCGGAAAGUGGCUCUUCGGAGUGUUAUAGCCGGGGCCAGAUGCCGCGUGUGGGGACCGAGGACUGCGGCUCUGUCUCGAUGC